rnacentral:rRNA from 1 species
CGGAGAUGAGGUGCUUGCACCUUAUCUUAGCGGCGGACGGGUGAGUAAUGCUUAGGAAUCUGCCUAUUAGUGGGGGACAACAUUCCGAAAGGAAUGCUAAUACCGCAUACGUCCUACGGGAGAAAGCAGGGGAUCUUCGGACCUUGCGCUAAUAGAUGAGCCUAAGUCGGAUUAGCUAGUUGGUGGGGUAAAGGCCUACCAAGGCGACGAUCUGUAGCGGGUCUGAGAGGAUGAUCCGCCACACUGGGACUGAGACACGGCCCAGACUCCUACGGGAGGCAGCAGUGGGGAAUAUUGGACAAUGGGGGGAACCCUGAUCCAGCCAUGCCGCGUGUGUGAAGAAGGCCUUAUGGUUGUAAAGCACUUUAAGCGAGGAGGAGGCUACUGAGACUAAUACUCUUGGAUAGUGGACGUUACUCGCAGAAUAAGCACCGGCUAACUCUGUGCCAGCAGCCGCGGUAAUACAGAGGGUGCGAGCGUUAAUCGGAUUUACUGGGCGUAAAGCGUGCGUAGGCGGCUUUUUAAGUCGGAUGUGAAAUCCCCGAGCUUAACUUGGGAAUUGCAUUCGAUACUGGGAAGCUAGAGUAUGGGAGAGGAUGGUAGAAUUCCAGGUGUAGCGGUGAAAUGCGUAGAGAUCUGGAGGAAUACCGAUGGCGAAGGCAGCCAUCUGGCCUAAUACUGACGCUGAGGUACGAAAGCAUGGGGAGCAAACAGGAUUAGAUACCCUGGUAGUCCAUGCCGUAAACGAUGUCUACUAGCCGUUGGGGCCUUUGAGGCUUUAGUGGCGCAGCUAACGCGAUAAGUAGACCGCCUGGGGAGUACGGUCGCAAGACUAAAACUCAAAUGAAUUGACGGGGGCCCGCACAAGCGGUGGAGCAUGUGGUUUAAUUCUAUGCACCGCGAAGAACCUUACCUGGCCUUGAGAUACUAG